rnacentral:rRNA from 1 species
AACGAACGCUGGCGGCAUGCCUAACACAUGCAAGUCGAACGAGACCUUCGGGUCUAGUGGCCCACGGGUGCGUAACGCGUGGGAACCUGCCCUUAGGUUUGGCAUAACUCUCCGAAUGGGGUACCAAUACCGGACAAUGUCUUCGGACCAAAGAUUUAUCGCCUUUGGAUGGGCCCGCGUUGGAUUAGCUUGUUGGUAGGGUAAAAGCCUACCAAGGCGACGAUCCAUAGCUGGUCUGGGAGGAUGAUCAGCCACACUGGGACUGAGACACGGCCCAGACUCCUACGGGAGGCAGCAGAGGGUAAUAUUGGACAGUGGGCGGAGUCCUGAUCCAGCAAUGCCGCGUGAGUGAUGAAGGCCUUAGGGUUGUAAAGCUCUUUUACCCGGGAUGAUAAUGACAGUACCGGGAGAAUAAGCUCCGGCUAACUCCGUG